rnacentral:rRNA from 1 species
GACGAACGCUGGCGGCGUGCUUAACACAUGCAAGUCGAACGGAAAGGCCUUUUCGGAGGUACUCGAGUGGCGAACGGGUGAGUAACACGUGGGUGAUCUGCCCUGCACUCUGGGAUAAGCCUGGGAAACUGGGUCUAAUACCGGAUAGGACCGCACUUUAGUGUGUGUGGUGGAAAGUUUUUUCGGUGUAGGUGGAGCCCGCGGCCUAUCAGCUUGCUGGUGGGGUAAUGGCCUACCAAGGCGGCGACGGGUAGCCGGACUGAGAGGUUGGUCGGCCACAUUGGGACUGAGAUACGGCCCAGACUCCUACGGGAGGCAGCAGUGGGGAAUAUUGCACAAUGGGCGCAAGCCUGAUGCAGCGACGCCGCGUGGGGGAUGACGGCCUUCGGGUUGUAAACUCCUUUCGCCAGGGACGAAGCGUUUUGUGACGGUACCUGGAGAAGAAGCACCGGCUAACUACGUG